rnacentral:rRNA from 1 species
CCUACGGGUGGCUGCAGUCGAGAAUCAUUCACAAUGGGGGAAACCCUGAUGGUGCGACGCCGCGUGGGGGAAUGAAGGUCUUCGGAUUGUAAACCCCUGUCAUGUGGGAGCAAAUUAAAAAGAUAGUACCACAAGAGGAAGAGACGGCUAACUCUGUGCCAGCAGCCGCGGUAAUACAGAGGUCUCAAGCGUUGUUCGGAAUCACUGGGCGUAAGGCGUGCGUAGGCUGUUUCGUAAGUCGUGUGUGAAAGGCGCGGGCUCAACCCGCGGACGGCACAUGAUACUGCGAGACUAGAGUAAUGGAGGGGGAACCGGAAUUCUCGGUGUAGCAGUGAAAUGCGUAGAUAUCGAGAGGAACACUCGUGGCGAAGGCGGGUUCCUGGACAUUAACUGACGCUGAGGCACGAAGGCCAAGGGAGCGAAAGGGAUUAGAUACCCCGGUAGUC